rnacentral:rRNA from 1 species
AUUGAACGCUGGCGGCAUGCCUUACACAUGCAAGUCGAACGGUAACGCGGGGCAACCUGGCGACGAGUGGCGAACGGGUGAGUAAUAUAUCGGAACGUGCCCAGUAGUGGGGGAUAGCCCGGCGAAAGCCGGAUUAAUACCGCAUGAGACCUGAGGGUGAAAGCGGGGGAUCGCAAGACCUCGCGCGAUUGGAGCGGCCGAUAUCGGAUUAGCUAGUUGGUGGGGUAAAGGCUCACCAAGGCGACGAUCCGUAGCGGGUCUGAGAGGACGACCCGCCACACUGGAACUGAGACACGGUCCAGACUCCUACGGGAGGCAGCAGUGGGGAAUUUUGGACAAUGGGCGCAAGCCUGAUCCAGCCAUGCCGCGUGAGUGAAGAAGGCCUCGGUU